rnacentral:rRNA from 1 species
CCUACGGGAGGCAGCAGUGGGGAAUAUUGCACAAUGGGCGCAAGCCUGAUGCAGCGACGCCGCGUGAGGGAUGGAGGCCUUCGGGUUGUGAACCUCUUUCGCUCAUGGUCAAGCCGCAACUGUGGGUUGUGGUGAGGGUAGUGGGUAAAGAAGCGCCGGCUAACUACGUGCCAGCAGCCGCGGUAAUACGUAGGGCGCGAGCGUUGUCCGGAAUUAUUGGGCGUAAAGGGCUUGUAGGCGGUUGGUCGCGUCUGCCGUGAAAUCCUCUGGCUUAACUGGGGGCGUGCGGUGGGUACGGGCUGACUUGAGUGCGGUAGGGGAGACUGGAACUCCUGGUGUAGCGGUGGAAUGCGCAGAUAUCAGGAAGAACACCGGUGGCGAAGGCGGGUCUCUGGGCCGUUACUGACGCUGAGGAGCGAAAGCGUGGGGAGCGAACAGGAUUAGAUACCCCUGUAGUC